rnacentral:rRNA from 1 species
GAUGAACGCUGGCGGCGUGCCUAAUACAUGCAAGUCGAGCGAACGGACGAGAAGCUUGCUUUUCUGAUGUUAGCGGCGGACGGGUGAGUAACACGUGGAUAACCUACCUAUAAGGCUGGGAUAACUUCGGGAAACCGGAGCUAAUACCGGAUAAUAUUUUGAACCGCAUGGUUCAAAAGUGAAAGACGGUCUUGCUGUCACUUAUAGAUGGAUCCGCGCUGCAUUAGCUAGUUGGUAAGGUAACGGCUUACCAAGGCAACGAUGCAUAGCCGACCUGAGAGGGUGAUCGGCCACACUGGAACUGAGACACGGUCCAGACUCCUACGGGAGGCAGCAGUAGGGAAUCUUCCGCAAUGGGCGAAAGCCUGACGGAGCAACGCCGCGUGAGUGAUGAAGGUCUUCGGAUCGUAAAACUCUGUUAUUAGGGAAGAACAUAUGUGUAAGUAACUGUGCACAUCUUGACGGUACCUAAUCAGAAAGCCACGGCUAGCUACGUG